rnacentral:lncRNA from 1 species
AUUUUUCAGGGCUGGCUAUUGGCACUUGACAACAAAUUGGAGUAUUCUUCCCUGGAGGCACCCACCCCUUCAAUUGCCAGCUUUCCUCAUUUACCAGUGAGUUUUUGUAUAGGUGAGGCCUCCUGGGCUUUUCCCCAUCCACUUUGGCACAUUUAUUUUAACUUAAUGGUUAAAGCCAAAAGGACACAUACAUCACCACUGAAGAAGAGGAAAAAUAAGCACAGCAAUAAAACUCACUCAUAAACUGAGUCUUGCCAGAGAGAUUGACCUGGGCUACCCAUUGUCCCUGUCAACAUGAAGAAAGCAUAUGGAACUCAGCAUAUUGGACAUCUGAAAGACAUGACAAAGACAAAGCCUGUGACAAAGCUUUCUGUUCUCUGUGGGUUGGAACACAAG